rnacentral:lncRNA from 1 species
AGUCCUCUCCCAAGUCCACGCAGGGGAAGUGAUAGCAUUGCUUUCGUGUAAAUUAUGUAAUGCAAAAUUUUUUAAAUCUUCGCCGUAAUACUUUUGUAUUUUGUUUUAUUUUGAAUGAUCAGCCUUUGUGGCCCCCCUUUGUUUCCCCCAACUUGAGAUGUAUGAAGGCUUUUGGUCUCCCUGGGAGUGGGUGGAGGCAGCCAGGGCUUACCUGUACACUGACUUUAGGCCAGAUGAAUAAAAGUGCACCUUAAAA